UGCGUGCCAUAGACACAUGAAGACGGUGAAUUUGCAUAAAACUCAUUGACUAUCAUUGAAUUGAUUUAAUUUAAUAAAAGUUAUGAAAAUGUCGCAAAAUAUAUUAAUUGAAACGCAAACGUCGAAUAUAAAUGAUAGCAAUAAUGAUAAUAGUUCCGAAGAUGAACAAAGUGGUGAAUAUACCGAUCCGAAAACAUUCCAAUUAAAAAAGUUUGAGAAGAAAUCGAGCCAUUUAAUUUGGUCACACUUUGGCUGUAUAUUCAAGGGAAAUGUGAUAGUUAGCAGAAUGAAAGAUCGUAUUAUUUGUCGUAUAUGUUUUAAAAAUAAUAGAUUUAAAAGUUAUGCCAAAAGCACCAGCGCAACGGUUUUGAUUCAGCAUAUGUUCAAUGACCAUAGAAUAAAAGUGACUUCGGAGAGAAUUGAAUUGAAACAGAAAAAACUGACGGAUUCGUUUAUUCAACCCGGGGAGAGAAAAGAAAAAUUGCAUUCCGAUGAUAAAUUUAUUUUGGCCCGAAGAUUGGUGUUGUGGUAUUGCAGAGAUUUAAUACCAUUUUCUUCAGUGGAAAAGGAAGGCUUUCUGGAUUUUUGGAGAGUGAUCGGAGGGCUAGGAACUAAAGACAAAGGUCUUCCAACACGACAAACAAUUUCCAUUUUAGCGUUAGACGAUAUGUACACAUGCCUGAAGAAAAAAUUGCUCACCGAUUUGAGUCAAACUCCAGAAUACUGUACUAUUACAUUUGAUAUGUGGACGGACAAUCAUAAAAGAUUAUCAUAUGUAACAUAUACAUAUCACUAUAUGGACUCUGGAUGGAAUAUGAAAAGCAGAAUCUUGAGAACUGGCCGAUUUGAUCGACCCCAUACUGCUGAGCGUAUUCGUGAUGAUUACAUUAACACCAUGGCUGAAUAUGGUAUCGAAGAAAAAAAUGUAGUGUGUGUUACCGAUGGUGGUGCCAAUGUUAAGAAAAGUACCGAAUUACUCAAUUUAAAACGUUUCGCAUGUGUUGCUCACUCAAUCAAUAACCUAAUACAAAAAGAUUUAAUGAAAUCAAAAGAUAUGAAAGAAUUGACUAGUUUAAUUUCAAAAUUAAGGAAAAUUCAAAGAACUUUGAUUUACAAACACACACAAUUGAAAACAAUUUAGGAAGAUGAUAAGCAUAAACAUUUAAUGAUGAUCUUGUUAGAGGAAUGUUCACAAACGGAUGAUAUAUUUGAUGCUGAGUCACAGUUCUCUGAUGUCAAUUUUGAAGAAUUUAACCGCGGUGGGGAUUUUACAGGAUUAAAAUCCAUCAGCACAGUCCGAUGGAAUUGUGUAUUUAAACUCGCACAAGUUCAUUUGAACCACAUAGAAUCCAUAAAAAAGUGCCUUGAAGAACUAGAGGAAUAUGAUUUGAUUCUAACAAAACAAGAUUCCAUAUUACUUGGCGGGGUGGUUGAAUUAUUGGACGUUUCCAACGUUUUCACAACGUACAUCCAAGGAAAUGAUUUUCCCACUCUCAACUCCCUUGUGCUAUUUUAUUCCGAAAUUAAAGAUCGUUUGGAAACCAUUCAUUUGAUGACGACUGAUGAUUUAAUUGAAAAGGCAGCCGAUAUUCUUUUGACAAAUUUGAAUAGAAGAAUGCCUUUACCGAUGGAAGCAAUUGCCAGUGCGCUUUUGGACCCUUCAACACAGCAUUUAAAAAUCAUUAAUGAAUGGUUAAAUUUAGAAGGAUAUUCAAAGGUUGAAGUCAUCGAAACAGUUGCGCAAUCAAUGAAGAUAAAUAUCCAUGAGACUAUAUCGGAGGCGCCAAUUUUGGAUGACAGAGACACCACAGUCCAACCCAAAUCAUUAAGGGAGAAAUUACUUGCAAAACACAUAAAUAUGAUUCACGGAAGUAGUAAUUUAGAACAGGAACUGGAACUAUUUGCUCAGAAGAAAGAAAUACCAGCAUGUGUUUUGAGUUUUUGGCGUCAAAAUGAGUCAUCAUUUCCAAAAAUGUCUGCGGUUGCCAAAGUAAUUCUGGGAAUACCAGCAACAACAGCUAAAUCGGAAAGUGCUUUUUCAAUUGCUGGUUGCUUAAUACAAAGAAGACGGGCAUCAAUCGAACCAAUGCGUGCUGAAAAAACUUUAUUUAUACAUGAUAACUAUGACUUGUUCAAUUUUUAAGAAAAUUCAUAUUUCUUUGUUAUCUGUAGUCCACACUCAAUUACAUUGUAAGCUCAGGUAGUAAGAUAAAUCUAAUAAAAUAUA